UUUAAUGGAAACAACUUGACCAAAAAUCUGUCACAGAAUUUGAGACCCAUUAAAAAAGUUUAAUGAGAAGCCUGUGUUUUCUUUUGGUCAACACUGUAACUUCCUAUAGUACUAACUACUUAGGAAAGAGUUGCCAUAAUCUAUUUCUGAUAUUAAGUCUGCUGAAACAAAAUUUUAUAUUUCUGGGUUUGAGCUUCAGGUUUCUUACCCUUGUGUAAGGAGAAUUCACCUGUUUAAGUACAUCAUAGAAAGGCGUUGGUACAACACUUCACAGGUUAGGACAGAUACGCAAAGUAACUUAUGUAAGCUAGAUUGUAAGAUCAAAUUCUAUAAUGUGGAAGCUCAUGUUGCAUAUAAGAUUUUGUAUGGUUACGUAAGUAUUGAGUAAAUGAGUUACAUCAAACUUCAGUUUCCCAGUUAUGGGAAAGUGCUUUCACAUUUACAAUAUUCAAGUAAUUAACCUAAAAUGUGAAGCCAAAGUAGUAUUGAGCACUGCCCUGCUAGAGUUACUGUAUCCAGAUUCUAGGAAAAAUAAAAGAUGCUGGAAGCUAUGUUUCCUGUCACUUAAAUAGAAAUUCACUUUCUGUAGGAAUUUUCAUCUAAUGAGCAAGGUUGGGUGAAGAGAAGAACAUUGCCACACUGGAGAUUAAAACAGUUUAAAGAGGUAUGGUGGUAAAUAUAAGGUCUAUUUGGGACUGAGUGUAGGAGAAACCUAAGUUCUAGUUUGAAAAUGUUUUAUGAAGUUAAGUUCCAUUUUAAAAACUACUUACUGGAAAGGAACAUUGGAAGAUUAUAAUUUGAAAGUUGCUGAAAUUUGACAUUUGGGCAGGGUGAAAAUAGCUUAACUAUAAUGGAUAAUUUGGUAACCUGUGAAUUGCAAGGGACUGGUCACAAAGGGGAAAAACUAGGUGGUUGCAGUUAAUAGUAAUUGAUUUAGGGUAUAACUGACAACUGUCUAAUGUAAAUACUUGGUUUUGAUAUUUGGUGAAUAAACACUUGUGCAUUUGAGGAAACAGUCUAAUUCUGUAUUUGAUAUCUUGGCUUUUAGGAUAUGAAAGGGAAAUUAAGGUAGCUGGAACUGGUGAAAUGAGAUACAUAUCCUGUAGGCUUUUUUUGCUAAUAGAAAGCAUUCUGUAAGGUGUACACAGGUGAAUUAACUGCAAUUGGAGCAUCUUUUCUCCUUUUUGAAUUUUCCUGGGUAAAAUGCCUUCUCACUUAUACAUGAGGCCGUUGGUAAGGGGUCUAAUAAAAGAUUUUGUCCCCAGCUUGCCCUUUAAUGUUUUGACAAGUGAUGGUGUUUACUAUGAAGAUUAUAAUGAGACAAGAAUAGUAUUUUUAAGCAUUGCUGGCUAGUAUAAAGGGUAUCUGAUAACACAAAUCUAGCAGCUGUAGGAUUUAUCAAGGGAUUUGUGACUGCCCACAAUGAAGGUUUCACUGCAGAAAAUUGCUUUUCAUUAAAUGGAAGAGUAGGAAGGGGAGAGCAGGACAGUUUGCAUACUCCUCCAUGGAUUCUAGUCUGUAUGUAAUUUCUUUGAGCACCACCUACUGGUGGUCACUACAGAUCGGUUUGCAACAUGGAUUUCUAGGUUCUGGAUAAAGGAAUGUUUUGCUUGAGUUUUUUCCACUAAUUGCCUUUCCAUGUAUAUGAGCUGAUUAACCAGUAGAUUCGUAAAACAAACUGGUGCUUGACCUUAAACCACAUUUUAUUUUUUUAAAUAUUUGGUUGCUCUGGGUCUUAGUUGGGGCAUGCAGGAUCUUCGGUUGCUGCAUGAGGGAUCUUUGUGGCACGUGCGCCCCCUACGCUGGGAGCGCAGAGUCUCAACCACUGGACCACCAGAGAAGUCCCUAAACCACAUUCUGCAUUGGCCAGCUGUUGAAAUAACAGUGUAAGGACUGAAAUGGAAUCUUGUUGAACUUUGUUGCCAGAAAUUCUGGUGUGAUUUCAGAAUAUGAAAAGUGAGAAAGGCAUUUUGGUUCAGGAGUUGAACAGAUUGCCAGUAUUGGGUAUCUCAUUUUUUAAAAAGUAUUGUGAUUACUCACCCUUUAUUCCCAGAAUAGGCAGUCUAGAAUAAGUGAGUUUUGGCUAGGUCAGAACUCAAUAAUUUUAUGCUUAUAAUUCUCUUACAGUUAAUUAUUGAUAAUUAUGUCACAAAUCUCAGGUGCAUCAAGAGCUCAGCUAUCUGGAUGACACAAUUUACUCUGAACUAAUCUGUUUCAGUGUGGUAAUUUCAAAAUGUUUUAACUGGAGACUGAUGUUUAAAUAUUCCCCUAUGGCCCUCGAAAUCACCUGUUUCACCUUAGUUUUUUGAAUAUUUGUUUUAAAUGUUCUUUUUUAGACAAAAGUGUAAGUUGACUACACCUUACAAAUCUUGUUGGAAAGUGUCAAUAAUAAAUUGCCAAAUUAGGAGGCUGACUUUGAGGUCUGAUGUUAGAUGCAGUUUUUUUGCAAGAGCAAGAGCAGUUCAUCUGGUUAUUUGAGUUCUGUCUGAUCUGCCCAACACAGGGUAACUGCCUAAGUGGUGAAGAGCUCUUGAUUUUCAGUAAUUUGCAGAAUGCGGUGUAAAAAUCUUGAAUAUCACCAGGACAGGACUAUGGGUUUUGUUUUUAUUAAAACGUAUUUACCUUAGUUAACUUUCCCGCUGAGUUGAGCACUAAGCUCAAGAAGAAGUUGUUACUGGCUGUAUGUUCACGAUCCCUGAAAUGGGCAACUCUAGAAAAGGGGAGACGACUAAUUUCUUGAGUGUCAAGAUGCCCUUUCGUGUUAUCCAUUGAUAGAUGCUAGAUACUUGUCUUCGUGAAAUGCUGCGGAAAUAAGUAUAGUAAGUUGAGAAUUAAGUUACGUUACAGAGGUAGGACCUGUGUCCCGAAGGAAGUGAACAGCGUGAGUGCUCAGUCCUGUGAUUGGGGGAGAACAUGCGCUUUCAUGAGACAGAGGGAGGAAUAAGAUGUAUUUUCCUUUUUUUUUUUAAACCUUGCUGAAAUUUUCUUGUCCUGAUCUGGUUUUCCAUUUCGUGACUUGUGUUCUUUCUUCACUUCUAAACCCAUAGGUUCUCUCACCCAGGUGGCAUCGGAGUCCUCUGUUACUUGCCAGCCUCUGGGGACUUCCGUGACUAGUUAAAACUUCAAUUGAAGUUUUAACGUUGCUUGCUCAGUUGAUAGUGAUUUAGAAAAAAAGAAAACUUUCUUUGUUAGGAAAUUGCCACAUGGCUCCUGAAAGGUCACCGACCUCUGAUCCAGUGGAAACCUUGUAAAGGUCAUAUGGCUUUGUUCUUUUCUAAAUAGAAGGUUAUGCUGUAGUCUUGCAGUCAUCAGAAAUGAGUGAAAUAAGUAGUGAAAUUGUCAUUUAAUUUGGACAGCCCUCAGCAGGCCGGUGGAUCUCUAAGCGUUUAGAGCUCAGUUUGUGGUCUCCAUGGGAAAGACAUGACAACAAAGAUACUGUUAAAUUAAUGUUACAAUAAUUACAAGUAAGCAAAAGAGUAUUAGAAAACUUAAUGUUACAGUAAUUCCAAGUAAGCAAAGAGUAUUAGAAAACUUAGUGAGCAAGAGAUUUAGAAGUUCUCCCUAUUUUUUAAAUGAGGUAACAACACUAAAAUUCACCCUUUUAAAGUAUGUAGUUCUGCAAGUUUUGAUAAAUGCAGUUCACAAGGUAUAGAGUACUUCCAUCACCCCUCCCCCUACCCCAAAUUUCCCUGUGCCCUUUUGUAGUCAGCCCCUCUCCUCUACCUCUAACCCUUGGUAACCACCGACAUAUAUUCUGUGCCUAUAAUUUUGUUUUGCAGCCAUGUCACAUACCUGGAUUCAUACAGUAUGUAGCCUUUUGAGUGGUUUCUUUCGUUUAGCAUGAUGCAUUUGAGAUUCAUCUGUUUGGCGUACACCAGUAAUCUGUUCCUUUUUAAUGACUAAGUUUGAUUACAGCUGAGGGAUGUUGGUUGUUUCCAGUUUUGGAUUAAUUAUGAAUAAACUAUAAAUAUGCACAUAUAGGUUUGUGUGUGACUAGGUUUUCAUUUUACUUGUUGAAGUACUUAGGAGUGGGAUUGCUUAGUCGUUGGCAAGUGUAUACCUUUGUAAGAAACUGCUCAACUGUUUUGCAAAGUGAAUGAACUGUUAGUAAUAGAUUAAGUGAAAUUUUAAAUUUUAUUUUGACAUUGAUUUUUCAAGGAAGGAAAUUAAUUUGACUAAAUGAGUGUUACACUGAGAUUCUGUAGGACACUUAUGCCUAGUGUUGUGAACAAAAUGGACACAGUUCUUGCCCUUUGAGUUUAUAUAAUAUACUGGCGGAGCUGGAUACUAACUGAAUAAGUAGAUGAUUUGGAGUUGUGGUGAUGCUCUGAAGGGAAAGAGAAGGAUACUGUGAGGGAGAAGAGUGAAAGGGACAUAAUUUAGGUUGGCUAGAGACGGUAUUUGUCAGGAAUAGAGGAGAUCUGAAGGAUAAGUAGAAGUUACUGAAUUAGAGGAUGUGAAAACAUUGCAUUACUUAGACAUCUCCAUAUAUGAGGCUUACCUUGGCCUCAACAAUUACAUAGAAUCAGAAAUGUCUAAGAAAACCUAAAAGCCUUUUAAUCUAAGCUACUCAGAUCAACUUUGAAUAUAUUCAUUGAAAUUUUUGCUGAUUACUUCAUCAGGGUGUGUGGUUGUCAUUGGAGGGCAGAGACAUUGAAUCCUCAAAAGUCUUUGUAGGGGCAGAUACUCCUAUUACAGAUGACAGACAGGGGUGGAGAGAGGCUCCUAAAUCAUCCCAUUGCUGGAUGAAAUUUUUUCUUGAUAUUUACUUAAACUUGACUGCUGGUAAUUUAAAAUCAUACCUGGGCUGUUCUCUUGGAAUAAUUAAACAAUGUCAUUCUCUUUGUUGUAAGAACCACUAAUUUACUUGAAGACACCAGUGAAUACCUCUUAGUCACGUCUGAGCUAAACACUUGCAGUUCUACAGCUGUUUCAUUUUUUUUAAUUGAAGUAUAGUUGAUUUACAACUGUUGUGUUAGUUACAGAUGUACAGCAAAGUGAUUCAGUUAUAUAUAUUCUUUUUCAGACUCUUAUAGGUUGUUACAAAAUAUUGAGGCUAGUUCCCUGUGCUAUACAGUAGGUCCUUGUUGGUUAUCCAUUUUUUUGUUUUUGGCCUCACCAUGUGGCAUGCCGGAUCUUAAUUCCCUGGUGAGGGAUUGAACCUGCGUGCCCCCUGCAGUGGAAGCCUGGAGUCUUAACCACUGGACCACCAGGGAAGUCCCUGGGUAUCUAUUUUUCUUUUUUUUUGUAUGAUUCUAUUUAUAUGAAAUGUCUAGACAGAGCCAUAGAGAAAGCAGUGAUUUAAAAUGUUCUAGGGCUUCCCUGGUGGCGCAUUGGUUGAGAGUCCGCCUGCCGAUGCAGGGGACACGGGUUCGUGCCCCGGUCCGGGAAGAUCCCACAUGCCGCGGAGCAGCUGGGCCCGUGAGCCAUGGCCGCUGAGCCUGCGCGUCCGGAGCCUGCGCUCCGCAACGGGAGAGGCCGCAGCAGUGAGAGGCCUGCAUACCGCAAAAAAAAAAAAAAAAAAAAAUUAAAAAAAAAAAUUUAAAUGUUCUAAAAUUUAGUGUUGGUUACACAACUGUAGAUGUACUCAAAACCAUUGACUUGUAUACUUUAAAGAGGUGAAUGUUGGGCUUCCCUGGUGGCACAGUGGUUAAGAAUCUGCCUGCCAAUGCAGGGGACAUGGGUUCGAGCCAAAGAUCCUACAUGCUGCGGAGCAACUAAGCUUACCGUACACCACAACUGCUGAGCCCAUGAGCCACAACUACUGAAAACCAUGUGCCUAGAGCCCGUGCUCUGCAACGAGACGCCACAAUAAUGAGAAGCCUGUGCACUGCAACGAAGAGUAGCCCCCGCUUGCUGCAACUAGAGAAAACCCGUGUUAAGCAACGAAGACCCAACGCAGCCAAAAAAAAAAAAAAAACAUUUUAAAAAAGAGGUGGAUGUUACAGUAUAUGAACUAUAUCUCAAAAAAGCUUUUUAAAAAAUGUCAGGGAUCAGGGGAGCCCAGAGGUCAGUUGUUGAAGGCCAAGUGUCCAUCAUGGGUUGAUUCUGCUGUCUUGUCUUUGAUCAAGACACUAAACAAGGCUGUUGCUACAAAAUGUUGAAGUCUUUUCCUGGCCGUGAUAGAGACCUCUUUGUGCACAGUUGGGAGGCCUCAAUUUCCCUAAAUAGUCUGAUAUUGGUGGGGGAGUGCGGUUGUGUGUGGGGGAAUGGCUUGUGAACAAAAGUGACUUGGAGUAGCACCACCUGUGUAGCAGGCCCUGGCUGGCUUCAGGUGUGUGUGAGCGGGGAGAGGAUGGAGGGUGUCCCAGUUUUCUAUGCUAAAUGCCUCUCAAUCACCCCAAGAAUUAUAUCUGAUGGCUCGGGGGGUCCCCUGGGCUCAGCUAGAGCAGUUCUUGCUUAGGAUUUCUCAGACAGUUGCAGUCACACCAUGAUAGGGCCUGGAGUUAUCUAGAAGGCUUUUUCACACAUUUGUCUGGCAAUUGAUGCUGGCUGUCAGCUGGGACCUCAGCUGGAACUGUCAGCUGGAACACCUACCUGUGACCGUUCCAUGUGGCCUGGGCUUUGUAGCAUGACGGCUAGGUUCCAAGAGUGAGUAUCCCACGGGAACCAGGUAGAAGCCUUAUUACCUUUUAUAGGACUCAGCUUUGGAAUUCAUAUAAUGUCACUUCUGCUGUAGUCACUGGCUCAUUCCAUAGACCCCCAACUCUAGGUGAGAGGUGUGGCACCAUCAUGUUGUAGUAAGAGCAUGUGGGAGGGGAGAUGUUAUGGUGACCAUGUUUGGAAAAUACCCUAUUUUUAAUGUAAAAGUGUGUAUAUGUUAACACCAAACUCCUAACUUAUCCCCCUACCCCUGUGGUAACCAUACGCUUGUUUUCUAUCUGUGGGUCUUAUUUCUGUUUUGUACAUAGGUUCAUUGGUAUCAUGUUUUUUUAGAUUCCACAUAUGAGGGAUAUCAUGAUAUUUGUCUUUGACUGACUUCACUUAGUAUGAUAUCUCUAGUUCCAUCCAUGUUGCUGCAAAUGGCUUUUUUUUUUUAACGUCUGAGUAGUAGUCCAUUGUGUAUAUAUACCGUUAUCUUCUUUAUCCAGUCAUCUGCUGAAGGACAUUUAGGUUGCUUCUAUGUCUUGGCUAUUGUGUUUUUCUUCGAAGCUCUGAUAACUGUCUCUGAAGUUUGUUAAACUGCCCCCCCGCCCCUGCUUGAGGUUGUUCUGUGUGAAAUUGGAAAUAACAUCAGCAUGUGGGAUCUUAGCUCCCCGACCAGGCAUCAAACCUGCACCCCCAGCAUUGGAAGGCGAAGUCUUAACAACUGGACCGUUGGGGAAGUCCCUGGCAAAAUAUUUGAAAACAAUCAGUAAUAAAAUUAAAACUCUUGGCUGUAAGGUGCUAAAUAGAAAUACAUCUUGGAGCAGAGCCGCCGCCUUGACGACGUGCUGGGAUGGCUGUGAGGACCCCGCCACUCGUGGCUCGCUGGCCCCAGGAGGGGGAUUUGGGGGGACGUUCCUAGCAGCUGUCGAAACCAUUUGUUUCGGGGCUCCUCCGUUUCUCCCCUGCUCGGCACUGGCUACCAAUGUACGCUUUUCCUUGGUGGAACGGAAAGAUGCCUCCAAACGAGCUGACGAGCUCCAAGACCGAGUUAAGUCCACCGGUGUGCACCCAGCAAACUACUUUUUUGAGCAUGAAGUGCUAUUUGGGCAUUUUGCCAAUUGGUUCUGACAUGCGUCUGACACCGAGGACCGUUGGUGUUGGGAAGUGCACUUAAGAGAAAGCUAUCUUGACAAAAUACUGUUUUCAGAAUUCUGACCCUGAGAGAACAACCAUAUGCCUAAGAGAAAGCUUGAAGUUAACUCUUAUCUGUCCUUAAAAUACAAAGCCCACUUUGCCUGAGACUUCAGCCUUGGGUUAAUUAGUAGAACUUCAGAAGAUGUUUGGGUUUAUUAAACACGUAUCUUGUACCACACUAAAGAGAAAUUAUGCUAUGAGAAAGAUGUUUUUAGAGGUUAUGGAACAUGUUAAGUUUGCCAGUCAGUAAAUGCUGGUAUAACAGUUCAAUUACUUGUUUCUCGGUUUUGUUAAGGCUUUUAAGGGUUAAAAAUUGUAAUAUGUAAUUAAAGCUACUAAAAAUGAUUAAGGGAAGCAUUUCACUGUGUAAAGCAAGUAGGAUAUGUAUCAUCAGCGAGGGAAGGUAUAAAGAAUGGAGAUUUUUUAAAAAAAUUUAUUUUACUUAUUUUUAUUUUUGGCUGCAUUGGGUCUUUGUUACUGUGCAUGGGCUUUCUCUAGUUGUGGCGAGCGGGGGCUACCCUUGGUUGCAGUGCACGGGCUUCUCAUUGCGGUGGCUUCUCUUGUUGCGGAGCACGGGCUCUAGGGUGCACGGGCUUCAGCAGUUGUGGCACGCAGGCUCAGUAGUUGUGGCUCGCGGGCUCUAGAGUGCAGGCUCAGUACUUGUGGUGUACAGGCUUAGUUGCUCCGCGGCAUGUGGGAUCUUCCCAGACCAGGGCUUGAACCUGUGUCCCCUGCACUGGCAGGCGGAUUCUUAACCACUGUGCCACCAAGGAAGCCCAAGAAUGGAGAUAUUUUUGUUGAGGAAAAAUGAUGAUAAUAAUUUUGUCCUAGAGCUGUUUGUUUCUGGAUGGGGAAAACUAAGGGACAAAUCAUAUGGAUAUAAAAAGUGAUAAAACAUUUGUGAAAAAAGGGAACUUUGAGAAAAGAAUUUUGUACAUUGUCAGGAGAGAUUAAGAUUAGAUUGGAUUUAAUUAGGUAAAUAAACUUUGUUACUAAUAGCUAAAAAAAAAGAAA